AGAGUUUGAUCAUGGCUCAGAUUGAACGCUGGCGGAAUGCUUUACACAUGCAAGUCGAACGGCAGCACGGGUGCUUGCACCUGGUGGCGAGUGGCGAACGGGUGAGUAAUGCGUCGGAACGUGCCGAGUAAUGGGGGAUAACGCAGCGAAAGCUGUGCUAAUACCGCAUACGCCCUGAGGGGGAAAGUGGGGGAUCGCAAGACCUCACGUUAUUCGAGCGGCCGACGUCUGAUUAGCUAGUUGGUGGGGUAAAGGCCUACCAAGGCGACGAUCAGUAGCGGGUCUGAGAGGAUGAUCCGCCACACUGGGACUGAGACACGGCCCAGACUCCUACGGGAGGCAGCAGUGGGGAAUUUUGGACAAUGGGGGCAACCCUGAUCCAGCCAUUCCGCGUGAGUGAAGAAGGCCUUCGGGUUGUAAAGCUCUUUCAGCCGGAACGAAACGGUAGAGGCUAAUACUCUCUGCUAAUGACGGUACCGGCAGAAGAAGCACCGGCUAACUACGUGCCAGCAGCCGCGGUAAUACGUAGGGUGCGAGCGUUAAUCGGAAUUACUGGGCGUAAAGCGUGCGCAGGCGGAUUGUUAAGCAAGAUGUGAAAGCCCCGGGCUUAACCUGGGAAUGGCAUUUUGAACUGGCAGUCUAGAGUGCGUCAGAGGGGGGUGGAAUUCCACGUGUAGCAGUGAAAUGCGUAGAGAUGUGGAGGAACACCGAUGGCGAAGGCAGCCCCCUGGGAUGACACUGACGCUCAUGUACGAAAGCGUGGGUAGCAAACAGGAUUAGAUACCCUAGUAGUCC
rnacentral:rRNA from 1 species